UACAUAGGGUGCAAGCGUUGUCCGGAAUUAUUGGGCGUAAAGAGCUCGUAGGUGGUUCGUAACGUCGGGUGUGAAAAUCUGGGGCUCAACCCCAGACCUGCAUUCGAUACGGGCGAACUAGAGUGUGGUAGGGGAGACUGGAAUUCCUGGUGUAGCGGUGGAAUGCGCAGAUAUCAGGAGGAACACCAAUGGCGAAGGCAGGUCUCUGGGCCAUUACUGACACUGAGGAGCGAAAGCGUGGGGAGCGAACAGG
rnacentral:rRNA from 3 species